rnacentral:rRNA from 1 species
UAAUACGGAGGGUGCGAGCGUUAUCCGGAUUUACUGGGUUUAAAGGGUGUGUAGGCGGACUAUUAAGUCAGCGGUGAAAUCUCCGGGCUCAACCCGGAAACUGCCAUUGAUACUAUUAGUCUUGAAUAUUGUUGAGGUGGGCGGAAUGUGUCAUGUAGCGGUGAAAUGCAUAGAUAUGACACAGAACACCGAUUGCGAAGGCAGCUCACUGGGCAAUGAUUGACGCUGAGGCACGAAAGCGUGGGGAUCAAACAGGAUUAGAUACCCUGGUAGUCCACGCCCUAAACGAUGAUUACUGGACGUUGGCGAUAUGACCGAUCAGCGUCUUUGAUAAGCGAAAGCAUUAAGUAAUCCACCUGGGAAGUACGACCGCAAGGUUG